rfam:Podospora anserina genomic DNA, chromosome 4.
GGUCGGCUGGUGUAGUGGUUAUCACGUUUGUCUCACACACAAAAGGUGCCAGGUUCGAUCCCUGGGUCGAUCA